GACGAACGCUGGCGGCGUGCUUAACACAUGCAAGUCGAACGCUGAAGCUCAGCUUGCUGGGUGGAUGAGUGGCGAACGGGUGAGUAACACGUGAGUAACCUGCCCCCUUCUUUGGGAUAACGCCCGGAAACGGGUGCUAAUACUGGAUAUUCACUGAUCUUCGCUUGGGGGUUGGUGGAAAGGUUUUUUCUGGUGGGGGAUGGGCUCGCGGCCUAUCAGCUUGUUGGUGGGGUGAUGGCCUUCCAAGGCUUUGACGGGUCGCCGGCCUGAGAGGGUGACCGGUCACAGAGGGAGUGAGAUCAGGCCCAGACUGAUACGGGAGGCAGCAGUGUGGAAUAGUGAGCAAUGGGCGAAAGCGUGAUACGGCGACGCCGCGGGAGGGGUGGAGGCGUGUGGGUUGUAAAGCUCUUUGGGUUAUGGUCAAGCCUUAACAUUGGUUGUGGUGAGGGUAGUGGGUAAAGAAGCGCCGGCUAACUACGUG
rnacentral:rRNA from 1 species